rnacentral:lncRNA from 1 species
AGCAAUAAAAAGAAAUGAACCAUUGAUUCACACAACAACUUGAAUAAAUUUCAAAGGCACUGAGGAAGUGAGAUGAAACUAUCCUACCUACACUUGUUACAGCCACAGAGAAACCCAAAGCUGGAAGACUAUUGGCUGCUGGAAUUGAAGGGAAAUUUACCACAGAGAGAGGCAGGAGAAAAUCAGCCUGUGGAAAGAGGCAGAAGACACUGUGGUUCUGUCGGUACAGACACCAAAUUCUCCUUAUUGAAGCAAACCCUGUAACCAGUCUGGAUCUCCUUCAGAAGAUGGUCUAUACAUUUAUAUUACAGGUAUUUACACCCUGCAGCUAACUUAUUAUUUAAUAUUUAUUUAUUUUUGAUUGAUUGAUGAUUGGUUUACAAUAUGGGUUUGAUUUGGCAUGUAUCAGCAUGAAUUAAUCAUAGCUGUACAUAUGUCUCCUCCCUCUUGAAUCUCCCUCCUUCAAUUCACUUUUUUUUUUUACUCAAUAAUGUAUCUUGAAGUAAUUAUGUAACAUUACUUAUAGAGCUACUUCAUAUUUUAUGAAGUUGAAGAUAUAGUAUUCCACUGUAUGACAAAACUAUAGCUAUUAAAUAGCUAUAACUAUUUAAUUCAGUUCAGUUCAGUCAUUCAGUCAUGUCUGACUCUUUGCGACCCCA